UGUAAAUAAAUUGAAACAAGUAUUGUAUGUACUGUGUUAUAAUUUAAAACGCUUAAUUAUGCUUACAAAAAUUAAGCUCAAAAAGAUAUACUUGUUUACAGUGCAAAUUAAUGGCAAUAGGGAUUUACGAUUUCAUUUGCAGGAAAAACAUGGGCAACCUACCCAUUUGGUAAAAUUUCAAUUCAAAAACUCUUUAGAUUUUACUGUGUGGAUGGCACAGGAAGAGAAACAAAAUAAUAUUCAGUACUGCAGUCACAGGAGUACAAAAACAUGAAGCAUCUCAUUAUGUAUGUAUGCCAUUGUCAAACAAUAAUUAUUGUACAAAACAAGAUAGAGACACAGCUUUAAAAUCCCAAGGAUCCUGCGAAAAGAAAAGUGAAAAUGGUGUCUCAAUUAAUGUGGUAUAGAUAGACAUUUUUCUUCAUUUUAGUAGUAAAUAAUUACAGUAGAACCCCGCAAAUCCGAACUAAUUGGGGGGACAGCCUGUUCGGAUUCCGAAAAGUUCGGAUUAUCCGAAAGUUAGCCUUAACUAGUAGUUCAAAGCUUUCAUUGUGAUUUUGAGUAGCCAAACGUUCUCGCAAGAGUAUGGACAAUAUUUUUUGACUCAAGUUGACUACGAGAGAACCAAAGUAAGUUUGUGUUUAACCUUUAUAAACCUAUAUAUUAAAGUAUAAUAUUUAUUUUAAGAAAUUUUAAAUGUCAAAGUCCUAGUAAACCUACAUUGUCCAAUUUUCUGGCUUUACUCUGUAUAAUAAACAUGUUUUUAAGUUUUUGUCUUGAAUUUUUAAAUUUUUUUCACUUUCUGUUGGUUCGGAUUCGCGGGGUUCGGAUUUACGGGGUUCUACUGUAUAUAAUUAUUUAGAAUAUUAAUAUGUAUUAGUUUUAAUAGUAUUAAUAUGUAUUGUAUGAAUAAUUUCCAUCAUGUAUCUGCUGGCUAAAGCAACAAAAUAAAUAAAAAUGAAAAAACAUUUCAGUGA